rnacentral:misc_RNA from 1 species
GAUGAAGAACGUAGCGAAAUGCGAUAAGUAAUGUGAAUUGCAGAAUUCAGUGAAUCAUCGAAUCUUUGAACGCACCUUGCGCUCCUUGGUAUUCCGAGGAGCAUGCCUGUUUGAGUGUCAUGAAAUUCUCAACCUUUUCAGCUUUCUUUGUUGAUCAGGCUUGGAUGUGGGAGUAUGCGGGCUUCUCAGAAGUCGGCUCUCCUGAAAUGCAUUAGCGGGACCUUUGUUGCCUGGCUUUGGUGUGAUAAUUAUCUACGCCAUUGUAGUCAAGCAGCUUAAAAUGAGGUUUCAGCUUUUAACCGUCUCCCCUGAGACAACUUUUUGACAAUUUGACCUCAAAUCAGGUAGGACUACCCGCUGAACUUAAGCAUAUCAAUAAGCGGAGGA